GUCAGGGGCGGAGGAUAGGGCCAUGAGAGAUGUGGUUCAAUUGCUGACUAGAUUAGUGGCAGAUCAGGCUCGCAGGCAUGGACUAGGAGUUGAUCAUGCGGACAGAUCUGAUAGCUUAAGGGCUCGUGACUUCUUAAGUUGUAAUCCUCCAGAGUUCUUUGGGUCAAGGCCCCAGGAUGAUCCGCAAGAGUUUAUUCGUCAGAUGCAGCGUACAUUGAGGAUAAUCAAGGCUUCGGAGACCGAGUCUGUUGAGUUGGCUACGUAUCAUUUGCGGGAUGUAGCUAUUAAUUGGUAUGAGUCUUGGGAGUUAUCUAGGGGUGAGGGUGCUCCUCCAGCGGUAUGGGAUGAAUUUGUGGAGGCUUUCCAG
rnacentral:lncRNA from 1 species